rnacentral:rRNA from 1 species
AACGAACGCUGGCGGCAUGCCUAACACAUGCAAGUUGAACGAGACCUUCGGGUCUAGUGGCGCACGGGUGCGUAACGCGUGGGAACCUGCCCUUAGGUUCGGAAUAACUCCCCGAAAGGGGUGCUAAUACCGGAUAAUGUCUUCGGACCAAAGAUUUAUCGCCUUUGGAUGGGCCCGCGUUGGAUUAGCUAGUUGGUAGGGUAAAAGCCUACCAAGGCCACGAUCCAUAGCUGGUCUGAGAGGAUGAUCAGCCACGCUGGGAAUGAGACACGGCCCAGACUACUACGGGAGGCAGCAGUGGGGAAUAUUGGACAAUGGGCGAGAGCCUGAUCCAGCAAUGCCGCGUGAGUGAUGAAGGCCUUAGGGUUGUAAAGCUCUUUUACCCGGGAUGAUAAUGACAGUACCGGGAGAAUAAGCGCCGGCUAACUCCGUG